GAGGGUGUAGCUCAGUGGUAGAGCACAUGCUUAACAUGCAUGAGGUCCUGGGUUCAAUCUCUAGUACCUCCG
rnacentral:tRNA from 1 species